AUUGAACGCUGGCGGCAGGCCUAACACAUGCAAGUCGAGCGGGGGUAGCAAUACCCUAGCGGCGAACGGGUGAGGAAUGCUUGGGAAUCUGCCUGGUAGUGGGGGAUAACGUUCCGAAAGGAACGCUAAUACCGCAUACGUCCUACGGGAGAAAGGGGGGGAUCUUCGGACCUCUCGCUAUCAGAUGAGCCCAAGCGGGAUUAGCUAGUUGGUGAGGUAAAGGCUCACCAAGGCGACGAUCCCUAGCUGGUCUGAGAGGAUGAUCAGCCACACUGGAACUGAGACACGGUCCAGACUCCUACGGGAGGCAGCAGUGGGGAAUAUUGGACAAUGGGCGAAAGCCUGAUCCAGCAAUGCCGCGUGAGUGAUGAAGGCCUUAGGGUUGUAAAGCUCUUUUACCCGGGAUGAUAAUGACAGUACCGGGAGAAUAAGCUCCGGCUAACUCCGUGCCAGCAGCCGCGGUAAU
rnacentral:rRNA from 1 species